rnacentral:rRNA from 1 species
CCAAUAGCGUAUAUUAAAGUUGUUGCAGUUAAAAAGCUCGUAGUUGAACUUCGGAAUUUGCCCAUUGGUCAGGCUUAACUGUCUGAACUGGUGUGACGAGUUCCUACCUUCUGAGGAAUCUUCAUGCCAUUCAGUUGGUGUGGGGGGAAAUCAGGACUGUUACUUUGAAAAAAUUAGAGUGUUUAAAGCAGGCAUCCGUCUGAAUACAUUAGCAUGGAAUAAUAAAAUAGGACGGUUUGGUUCUAUUUUGUUGGUUUCUAGGAUCACCGUAAUGAUUAAUAGGGAUAGUUGGGGGCAUUAGUAUUCAAUUGUCAGAGGUGAAAUUCUUGGAUUUAUUGAAGACUAACUACUGCGAAAGCAUUUGCCAAGGAUGUUUUCAUUAAUCAAGAACGAAAGUUAGGGGAUCGAAGACGAUCAGAUACCGUCGUAGUCUUAACCAUAAACUAUGCCGACUAGGGAUCGGACGAAGUUAAUUUUUUAAUGACUCGUUCGGCACCUUACGGGAAACCAAAGUGUUUGGNUUC